AGUGAACGCUGGCGGCGUGCCUAAUACAUGCAGGUCGAACGAUGAAGUCCUAGCUUGCUAGGAUGGAUUAGUGGCGCACGGGUGAGUAAUAUAUAGUUAAUCUGCCCUACACAGAGGAACAACAGUUGGAAACGACUGCUAAUACCUCAUACUCCUAUUUGACAUAAGUUAAAUAGGGAAAGUCUUUUCGGUGUAGGAUGAGACUAUAUCGUAUCAGCUAGUUGGUAAGGUAAUGGCUUACCAAGGCUAUGACGCGUAACUGGUCUGAGAGGAUGAUCAGUCACAUUGGAACUGAGACACGGUCCAAACUCCUACGGGAGGCAGCAGUAAGGAAUAUUGCGCAAUGGGGGAAACCCUGACGCAGCAACGCCGCGUGGAGGAUGACACUUUUCGGAGCGUAAACUCCUUUUAUCAGGAAAGAAUAAUGACGGUACCUGAUGAAUAAGCACCGGCUAACUCCGUG
rnacentral:rRNA from 1 species